AUUGAACGCUGGCGGAAUGCUUUACACAUGCAAGUCGAACGGCAGCACGGACUUCGGUCUGGUGGCGAGCGGCGAACGGGUGAGUAAUACAUCGGAACGUGCCCAGUCGUGGGGGAUAACGUAGCGAAAGCUACGCUAAUACCGCAUACGAUCUAAGGAAGAAAGCGGGGGGUCGCAAGACCUCGCGCUAUUGGAGCGGCCGAAGGCAGAUUAGGUAGUUGGUAGGGUAAUGGCCUACCAAGCCGACGAUCUGUAGCUGGUCUGAGAGGAUGAUCAGCCACACUGGAGCUGAGACGCGGCCCGGAAUCCUACGGGAGGCAGCAGUGGGGAAUUUUGGACAAUGGGCGAAAGCCUGAUCCAGCCAUGCCGCGUGCAGGAUGAAGGCCUUCGGGUUGUAAACUGCUUUUGUACAGAACGAAAAGGCUCUGGUUAAUACCCGGGGCUCAUGACGGUACUGUAAGAAUAAGCACCGGCUAACUACGUGCCAGCCGCCGCAGUAA
rnacentral:rRNA from 1 species